GGAGGCUUCGCAUAAUGGUAUUGCAGCGGUCUUGAAAACCGCCGGGAGAAAUCCUGUGGGGGUUCGAAUCCCUCAGCCUCCG
rnacentral:tRNA from 1 species